rnacentral:lncRNA from 1 species
CUGAGAGUGGGACUAGUGAUUUUUGUUCAAACCAGUGAAAGAUUUCAUCCUUUUCAAACAUGAUUCUUGUUUUGAACCUCAGUGGGACUCGUUGUUUAAAAAAAAAACUUCAAAUGAUAUUGAAAAAAAGAAAAAGAGAGUGAGAGAAUACCUUUGGCUUGCAAAGAAAGUUUUCUUCGGAAGUAAACUUUGGAGUUUUGGAGACGAAGACGAGGAAGAUAUGAGAAUUAGACACGUAGCUUUUGGGAAAUGAAAGGGAAACUAAGAGGAAAUUGAAAAUUUUUAUCGGUUAGAGAGAACGUAAAAGUUUAUGUCAAGUGACGAAAAAGUUUUUAUAUUGUCCAAAAGAUCAAUACGACAAAGGUUCUGACGAAAACCUCCUGAGUAUGUUCUUACCCCGACGUUAUAUUAGUAGAAAUCGACGUUGUUGGUAAUAAGGCCUGUUGACUUUUGGUAUUCCGAAAACCAC